rnacentral:rRNA from 1 species
AAUCGCGGAAGGAAGCUUCGGUAGAAUUCCGUGAUGGAAAGCGGCGGACGGGUGAGUAACGCGUGGGAAACCUGCCCUUGACAGGGGGACAGCCGAGGGAAACUUCGAUUAAUACCCCAUAACGCAGAGAGACCGCAUGGUCAUUCUGCCAAAGAAUUAUCGGUCAGGGAUGGUCCCGCGUCUGAUUAGCUGGUUGGUGAGGCAGCGGCUCACCAAGGCGACGAUCAGUAGCCGGCCUGAGAGGGUGAACGGCCACAUUGGAACUGAGACACGGUCCAGACUCCUACGGGAGGCAGCAGUGGGGAAUAUUGCACAAUGGGCGCAAGCCUGAUGCAGCAACGCCGCGUGAAGGAGGAAGGCCUUCGGGUCGUAAACUUCUGUCCAAAGGGAAGAAGAAUGACGGUACCUUUGGAGGAAGCCCCGGCUAACUACGUGCCAGCAGCCGCGGUAACACGUAGGGGGCGAGCGUUAUCCGGAAUUACUGGGCGUAAAGAGUGCGUAGGUGGCUUUGCAAGCGUAGGGUAUAAGGCGACAGCCCAACUGUCGUUGGCCCCGCGAACUGUAAGGCUUGAGUACAGGAGGGGAAGGCGGAAUUCCUAGUGUAGCGGUGAAAUGCGUAGAUAUUAGGAGGAACACCAGUGGCGAAGGCGGCCUUCUGGACUGUAACUGACACUGAGGCACGAAAGCGUGGGUAGCAAACAGGAUUAGAUACCCUGGUAGUCCACGCCGUAA